rnacentral:rRNA from 1 species
UACGUAGGGGGCAAGCGUUGUCCGGAUUUAUUGGGCGUAAAGAGCGUGUAGGCGGUCCGGUAAGUCCGCUGUGAAAGUCGGGGGCUCAACCCUCGAAUGCCGGUGGAUACUGUCGGGCUAGAGUACGGAAGAGGCGAGUGGAAUUCCUGGUGUAGCGGUGAAAUGCGCAGAUAUCAGGAGGAACACCAAUUGCGAAGGCAGCUCGCUGGGACGUUACUGACGCUGAGACGCGAAAGCGUGGGGAGCAAACAGG